CUCUAGUGACGCCAGAGCUCCAUCCCUCUGGACUCUGUCGGCUCACAGCACGGUCAUGAUCCCAGCUGCUCUCAUCAAGCUCUCUGCUGCUCUGCUCUGGCUUGGAGGUAGAACUAGCGGCAGUGAUAUCACUCAGACUCCUCUGCUGUGGGCCUACCAGGGUCAGUCCGCCACCAUCAACUGCAGUCACUCCAAAAAUUUUGACUUCGACCAGAUGUACUGGUACCAGCAGGUGCCGGAUCAGAACAUGAAGCAGAUAGUUUUCACCACGGCGUACAGCGCUGCCAAGUAUGAAGAGGGCUUCACCAAGGAGAAGUUUGAAGUGGAGAAGAAGGACCCUUACACCGGGUCUCUGACGGUGAAGCAGCUGCAGCCUGAAGACGGAGGAGUGUAUUUCUGUUCUGUCAGUAAACACAGUGAUGCAGCCGGUUGAAGGGCUGCACAAAAACCCAGAGACAGCGACAGAAAACUUCUUUAAUUUAACCUGUAGAUGGAGCUAAAGAGCAGAGUAGACUGUUUAUGUCAUAAAAUUGGGCUGUUUUGUCAAUAAAGAAAAAAGAAGAGAAAAGAUACAUGGAGAACAAUAAAUCUACACACUGAUACAACAAGAUGUUGGAUUUGAAUCAAUGAAUAAAUCACUUCUAUUGGGGUGAUGUUUGAGUAAAGAUUAUAACUUUAAAACCACAAACAAACCUCAUAGUAGGUGGUGAUUAUAUUACUUGAAAUACAAUGAAACUAAAGUAAUGAAAUUCUGAAUGAUUAUCAGAAUUGUUUUUCUUAUCUGGAC